rnacentral:rRNA from 1 species
UAGGGAAUCUUCGGCAAUGGGGCAACCCCUACCGAGCAACGCCCCGUUGGUGAAGAAGGUUUUCGGGUCGUUAAGCCCUGUUGUAAGAGAAGAACGUGUUUGAGAGUGGAAAGUUCACACAGUGACGGUAACUUACCAGGAAGGGACGGCUUACUACGUUCCAGCAGCCGCGGUAAUACGUAGGUCCCGAGCGUUGUCCGGAUUUAUUGGGCGUAAAGCGAGCGCAGGCGGUUUAAUAAGUCUGAAGUUAAAGGCAGUGGCUUAACCAUUGUUCGCUUUGGAAACUGUUAAACUUGAGUGCAGAAGGGGAGAGUGGAAUUCCAUGUGUAGCGGUGAAAUGCGUAGAUAUAUGGAGGAACACCGGUGGCGAAAGUGGCUCUCUGGUCUGUAACUGACGCUGAGGCUCGAAAGCGUGGGGAGCAAACAGG